rnacentral:rRNA from 1 species
GAUCAUGGCUCAGGAUGAACGCUAGCUACAGGCUUAACACAUGCAAGUCGAGGGGAAACGACAUCGAAAGCUUGCUUUUGAUGGGCGUCGACCGGCGCACGGGUGAGUAACGCGUAUCCAACCUGCCCACCACUUGGGGAUAACCUUGCGAAAGUAAGACUAAUACCCAAUGAUAUCCCACGAAGGCAUCGGAAUGGGAUUAAAGAUUUAUCGGUGAUGGAUGGGGAUGCGUCUGAUUAGCUUGUUGGCGGGGUAACGGCCCACCAAGGCAACGAUCAGUAGGGGUUCUGAGAGGAAGGUCCCCCACAUUGGAACUGAGACACGGUCCAAACUCCUACGGGAGGCAGCAGUGAGGAAUAUUGGUCAAUGGGCGAGAGCCUGAACCAGCCAAGUAGCGUGCAGGAUGACGGCCCUAUGGGUUGUAAACUGCUUUUAUAAGGGAAUAAAGUGGGUCACGUGUGACUUUUUGCAUGUACCUUAUGAAUAAGGACCGGCUAAUUCCGUG